rnacentral:rRNA from 1 species
UACGUAGGGUGCGAGCGUUGUCCGGAAUUAUUGGGCGUAAAGAGCUCGUAGGCGGUGUGUCACGUCGGCCGUGAAAACCUGCAGCUUAACUGUGGGCGUGCGGUCGAUACGGGCAUCACUGGAGUUCGGCAGGGGAGACUGGAAUUCCUGGUGUAGCGGUGAAAUGCGCAGAUAUCAGGAGGAACACCGGUGGCGAAGGCGGGUCUCUGGGCAGUAACUGACGCUGAGGAGCGAAAGCGUGGGGAUCAAACAGG